rfam:Oryza nivara chromosome 7, whole genome shotgun sequence.
UUUAAACGUAGUCAUGAUUUUUCGUAUCCAACUUUGAUCGUCCGUCUUAUUUGAAAUGUUUUUAUGAUUAGUAUUUUUAUUGUUAUUAGAUAAUAAAACAUGAAUAGUACUUUAUGUGUGGCUUAUGUUUUUAAUUUUUUUCAAUUUUUUUAAAUAAAACGAACUGUUAAAAUUAUACACGAAAACUUAUGGCUAUACUUAAA